UACGAAGGGUGCAAGCGUUACUCGGAAUUACUGGGCGUAAAGCGUGCGUAGGUGGUUUGUUAAGUCUGAUGUGAAAGCCCUGGGCUCAACCUGGGAAUGGCAUUGGAUACUGGCGGACUCGAGUCCCGGAGAGGAAGGUGGAAUUCCUGGUGUAGCGGUGAAAUGCGUAGAUAUCAGGAGGAAUACCGGUGGCGAAGGCGGCUACCUGGACAAUUGCUGACGCUCAGGCACGAAAGCGUGGGGAGCAAAAGGG
rnacentral:rRNA from 1 species